UAGAACAGGGUGCUACGGGUGGCACGGAGAAUUUUGGAUUCUCAAGGAUGGGUUCGAUCCCCAUGGUUCUAG